GGGGACGCGGAGGAGAAGGAAAGUCGCUCAAGCAGUGGACAGAGCGGAGAAAGCGACUUCGGGUUGGUUGAAGGGUCUGCUGGAGUUUGCUGGAGGUGCACUCCAGACUCUGUUUGCCUGCCUAUCACCAACAGAGGCUGCAGAACAGCAAAGAUUGCUGUCUGUAACUUCCUCUGGAAGCUUCAUCCCAGAGGGGCACCUGCCAGAUGCCAGCCGGAGCUCUCCUCUAUGAGUGAAUGAAGGAGGGAAGAAAGGAGAGACAGAGAAAAUAUGGAUUUCCUCAUGGUUGUGAUUCCUCUUCACUCUUUUGAAUUUGGAAGGAUGGCAUACACAUCUGAAAAAUACCACUACUUCCUUCAUUGGACUGCAAGGUAUUUCUGUUUGGAAAAGUAAUGGAGUCCAGUCAACUUCAUUGAUCGCCAAGGACUGUCAAAAUUAUAAAACUUGCUGUGGAGCUCUGACAUGCCAGAAGCCGCUAGAAAAAGAAGUUUGACAUUCAGAAACUUAUCAAGAGGUUCUACUCUUUGGAUAGAGACCAAAAUCAUACUUUGAAGGGAUUGCAGUGGCAAAGCUAGGCUAGGUCUUGGAGGCUGGUGUAAGGCGAUGUGGGUGAAGGCAGGAGGCUGAUGGAAAGACUGGGGGGAAGAAAAGCCGAAAUGGAUUCACGGUGCCUUGGAUGAAGGACGAGAGGGGAACUGCAAGCUCCUUCAACUGGUUCUGUCCGGUGAGAAGUGAUCAAGCUUGGGCUGACAAGAGGCUCAGGGAGCCCUCACGUUCUUUCGCUUUUUUACCUGCCAAUCAAACUGCUACAAGACAACACCCUGAUCUGGCAUGGACAUCGCGGGUCCAAGCCUGUAGCCCCAAAUCGGAUAAUCUCUGCAGCUGAUAACAAGCAAAAGAGAAGCCAGGCAACAGCCAUAUUAAAGAAGAAAACAAUCAACUCUGAGAUCCAACUUAGAAAUAAUGUUUCAUUCAAGAUAAGGCUCGUGGCUUAGGAGAUUGUGACCUGGCUUGCAUCAUUCUAAGACUUCUAUCGUCUGUUUUCAAAACCCAAGGAGGACCUCCUUUUCUGUGUGAUAGUUCCUCAUGCUUUGCCAGCCACUGGGUCUUUAAGGAAGCUUGCCAAGAGUUCCCGGCUGGGAAGGACAGUUCGAGUUCAUCAUAGACAAUGAGCUGGCACCACAGUUUAAGUGACUCACCAACCUGGUUGCCCACUUCAAAAUGUCAAGAACCACACUAUCUAAUUGAAAGAACUGUGUUUUAGCAAAGUGUAAUUGGAUCGCCUGGCAAGAUCAUCUCAAACUAUGUCUCUGACCUUGCCUUUCAGUGGCUAUUUUGAGCACAAGAGGAGAAAGGAAAUGAUUCCUGAAUUAUAUCUUGUUUUUAAAAAUUAAGAUUAAUUAAUACUUGGUUUUAUGUUCAUUCCAUUGUAGGAACUUAGUGAUUAUUACAAAACAGUCAAAAUAGGUCAUAGCAAAAUGAACGUUUAAGAUUAGGUUAAAACAUUCCUCUGAAAUUUUAGUAUUCACUUUUGAAGUGUCAAUUACUAUAUUUCUGUAAUUUCUCAUUUUUUUCUUGGCUUAGAGUCAAGAUGAAAAAUGAUAUUUGAAUCAAAGACAUUGUUUUGUUAUAUAGCCACUCCUUUCUAAAAUGCAAAUCCACCCUCCCCUCACCAAUGCUUUAUUCUUUGUGCGCGCACACACACACACACACACACACACACACACACACACACACAGACAUACACAGAACCAGCACCCAAAUGGUAGAGGAGGUCCUUCCAAGACUUCUAGGACCUGGAUCAUGUAAGCAGUAGAUGAGAAAAUGAAGUAAGAGAUAUAGAGUAAUAACAAUAAAAGUCAAUGAUUUCAUUUUACAAAAAAGUCAUUGUGUAGUACUCAGAUAUUUUUAAGAGCAAGUAUUAUUAUGACUAAAGUAUAUUAUACUUCUAAAUUAUUAUGAUUCUCAUCUAAUUUCAAGCCACACAUAGGCGCCAUUUGAAAGCAUUUUGUGUUACAACCUAUCAACAAAAAUCAACUAAUAGUUUUAUAACGUGCAUAGGUUUACCCCAUGGGGAAUUAAAAUUUUUAUCUGCAAGUAUUUCUGUUGUUGUGAGACUUUAGGACAAGACAACAUUUGGUGUUAACAUAG
rnacentral:lncRNA from 1 species